rnacentral:rRNA from 1 species
GCAAGUCGAGCGAAUCUGAGGGAGCUUGCUCCCAAAGAUUAGCGGCGGACGGGUGAGUAACACGUGGGCAACCUGCCUGUAAGACUGGGAUAACUUCGGGAAACCGGAGCUAAUACCGGAUAAUCCCUUUCCUCACAUGAGGAAAGGCUGAAAGACGGUUUCGGCUGUCACUUACAGAUGGGCCCGCGGCGCAUUAGCUAGUUGGUGAGGUAACGGCUCACCAAGGCCACGAUGCGUAGCGACCUGAGAGGGUGAUCGGCCACACUGGGACUGAGACACGGCCCAGACUCCUACGGGAGGCAGCAGUAGGGAAUCUUCCGCAAUGGACGAAAGUCUGACGGAGCAACGCCGCGUGAGUGAUGAAGGUUUUCGGAUCGUAAAACUCUGUUGUUAGGGAAGAACAAGUAUCGGAGUAACUGCCGGUACCUUGACGGUACCUAACCAGAAAGCCACGGCUAACUACGUGCCAGCAGCCGCGGUAAUACGUAGGUGGCAAGCGUUGUCCGGAAUUAUUGGGCGUAAAGCGCGCGCAGGUGGUUCCUUAAGUCUGAUGUGAAAGCCCACGGCUCAACCGUGGAGGGUCAUUGGAAACUGGGGAACUUGAGUGCAGAAGAGGAAAGUGGAAUUCCAAGUGUAGCGGUGAAAUGCGUAGAGAUUUGGAGGAACACCAGUGGCGAAGGCGACUUUCUGGUCUGUAACUGACACUGAGGCGCGAAAGCGUGGGGAGCGAACAGGAUUAGAUACCCUGGUAGUCCACGCCGUAAACGAUGAGUGCUAAGUGUUAGAGGGUUUCCGCCCUUUAGUGCUGCAGCAAA